UACGAAGGGGGCUAGCGUUGUUCGGAUUUACUGGGCGUAAAGCGCACGUAGGCGGAUCGUUAAGUCGGGGGUGAAAUCCUGGAGCUCAACUCCAGAACUGCCUUCGAUACUGGCGAUCUUGAGUCCGGAAGAGGUGAGUGGAAUUCCUGGUGUAGCGGUGAAAUGCGUAGAUAUCAGGAGGAACACCGGUGGUGUAGACGGCUCUCUGGACCGUAACUGACGCUGAGACACGAAAGCGUGGGUAGCAAACAGG
rnacentral:rRNA from 1 species